rnacentral:misc_RNA from 1 species
ACGAGUUCUGACUGGGUUAGAGCUGGCCUUUCUGAGGCAUGUGCUCGCCCUGCUCAUCCACUCUACACCUGUGCACUCACUGUGGGUUUCAGACGGUGUUAGCGGGCCUUUACGGGCUCGUGAAGUCGUCUGUGCCUGCGUUUAUUACAAACUCUUACAAGUAUCAGAAUGUGUAUUGCGAUUUAACGCAUUUAAUA